CAGAGGGACAUGCCGGGCUCAUGAGUUGUCCCAGCAGAGGCUUGGCACUGAGCUCAGUGAUUAUAAAUAACCUACCCAGUGUGGGAGGCUCCCGGGCGACAGCUGCAGCCCAGCCCCCUGCACCCUUGACCCCUUCCUACAGACCUAGUACGGGGCUCCAGGCCUGGAGGAGGGCGCUGCCUGGGGAAAGCCUCGUAGAUCAAGGCACCAAGAAGCCCCUGCCGCGUCUUGUCACCUCCAGAGCCGGUGUCUGGGAGUAGAGGGCUCCCUUCUUACACCCCACCCUUAUACUUAAGAGCUCAAGGAGAGCCCCUCCCAAGGAGGGUCACGGACCCCCAACGAUGUGCUCACAGGCCUAAUCCGGGGCUCUGGAAAGGCCACCGCUGCUGGCCCCCGCCCCCCCUUUCAGCAAGCCCCCAAGCACUCACACCACCAGAGCACAUCAUUCUGGGAUGUGAUCUCCUUUCCUUACUGACUGUCCCGCACCAGGACCGUAAGCUCCAGGAGGCCAGGGACCCUACCCCUGGACAUCUCUGUAUCCCACAUGCCCACUGCUACACCUGCCGAGUAAUGGUUUACUGCAUAUUGGUUGAGUGAAUAAACAAACUCAGGCCCAA